CCGGAAUCCAUGCUGGAUAAGCAGUGUUGUACACCGUGCUCAAUGCUACAAGAAAAAGGCUAGGUCAGGCUUCGGCUGACCAAAAUUCAAAGCUGCUAUACCUCUGGCUGCAUGACUGUGUGGUCAGAGUGUAUGGUGAUCAUAGCAAUUGCAAGUAUUGGGCUCGAUAAAUCCUUUGAAGACGACUUAAUUGCAUCCGGGUAUUGUAAGUGUUGAGAGUAGGCUUAGUCUUACGAUCCACUGAGAUUCAUCCCGUGUUGCGCCGAUUUGU
rfam:Perkinsus marinus ATCC 50983 gcontig_1104296315138, whole genome shotgun sequence.